rnacentral:rRNA from 1 species
CCAAUAGCGUAUAUUAAAGUUGUUGUGGUUAAAAAGCUCGUAGUUGAACCUUGGGCCUGGCUGGCCGGUCCGCCUCACCGCGUGUACUGGUCCGGCCGGGCCUUUCCCUCUGUGGAACCUCAUGCCCUUCACUGGGUGUGCUGGGGAAACAGGACUUUUACUUUGAAAAAAUUAGAGUGCUCCAGGCAGGCCUAUGCUCGAAUACAUUAGCAUGGAAUAAUAAAAUAGGACGUGCGGUUCUAUUUUGUUGGUUUCUAGGACCGCCGUAAUGAUUAAUAGGGACAGUCGGGGGCAUCAGUAUUCAAUUGUCAGAGGUGAAAUUCUUGGAUUUAUUGAAGACUAACUACUGCGAAAGCAUUUGCCAAGGAUGUUUUCAUUAAUCAGGAACGAAAGUUAGGGGAUCGAAAACGAUCAGAUACCGUUGUAGUCUUAACCAUAAACUAUGCCGACUAGGGAUCGGACGAUGUUAUUUUUUGACUCGUUCGGCACCUUACG